GACAGAGGAUGCAAGCGUUAUCCGGAAUGAUUGGGCGUAAGCGUCUGUAGGUGGCUUUCAAGUCCGCCGUCAAAUCCCAGGGCUCAACCCUGGACAGGCGGUGGAAACUACCAAGCUGGAGUACGGUAGGGGCAGAGGGAAUUUCCGGUGGAGCGGUGAAAUGCAUUGAGAUCGGAAAGAGCACCAACGGCGAAAGCACUCUGCGGGCCGACGACUGACACUGAGAGACGAAAGCUAGGGG
rnacentral:rRNA from 1 species